rnacentral:rRNA from 1 species
GUUCAUGCUGACACAGAAUAACUAAGCUGAUCGCAUGGGCUUGUCCCGGCGACGUAUCGUUCGAGUAUCUGCCUUAUCAACUUUCGAUGGUAGUGUACGUGACUACCAUGGUUGUGACGGGUAACGGAGGAUAAGGGUUCGACUCCGGAGAAGGGGCCUGAGAAAUGGCCACUACGUCUAAGGAUGGCAGCAGGCGCGCAAAUUACCCACUCUCGGUUCGAGGAGGUAGUGACGAGACAUAACAAGGUCGUUCUCUACGAGGCCGACCAUUGGAAUGGGUACAACUCAAACCCUUUAACGAGUAUCAAUGAGAGGGCAAGUCUGGUGCCAGCAGCCGCGGUAAUUCCAGCUCUCAAAAUGCAUAGAAUUAUUGCUGCGGUUAAAAAGCUCGUAGUUGGAUUUGUGCCGGCGCCAUGGUCCACCCUAACGGGCGGCACUGUGUGCGUCGGCUUUGGGCCGGUCUUCUGGCCGGGUGCCUUCACUGGCGCUCCGGUCGUGGCUGGCUGGUUUACUUUGAGCAAAGCAGAGUGCUCAGCACAGGCGUUUCGCCGGAAUGUUCGUGCAUGGAAUAAUAGAACAGGAUCACGGUCCUCUUUUAUUGGUUUUGUGGACUGAGAUAAUGGUUAACAGAGACGAACGGGGGCAUUCGUAUUGCUGCGUGAGAGGUGAAAUUCUUGGACCGCAGCAGGACGGACUACAGCGAAAGCAUUUGCCAAGCGCGUCUUCAUUAAUCAAGAACGAAAGUCAGAGGUUCGAAGGCGAUCAGAUACCGCCCUAGUUCUGACCGUAAACGAUGCCAACUAGCGAUCCGCCGGUGGCCUUCUGGCCCUGGUGGGGAGCUUCCCGGAAACGAAAGUCUUCCGGUUCCGGGGGAAGUAUGGUUGCAAAGCUGAAACUUAAAGGAAUUGACGGAAGGGCACCACCAGGAGUGGAGCCUGCGGCUUAAUUUGACUCAACACGGGAAAACUCACCCGGCCCGGACACCGUGAGGAUUGACAGAUUGAUAGCUUUUUCAUGAUUCGG